rnacentral:misc_RNA from 1 species
CCAAUUUACCGUAGUUUGAUGGCCUAGUCUUACCUUGUUUUUGUUAUAUUUUAUACAUACUAUUAAUAUGAUAGAAAAUUGAAUUAAUUUGAAUAUUGUGCACUUUCUAAAUGCCCAUAGUGUCUAUAAACUUGUAAAUCUACUACGUUAGAAAGUAUAAUGUUCACAAUACACAGAUUAGUGUAUUGAAUGAAACUUAUAAUCAACGGUGUUGUACAUAUAUAAGAUUGAACUUCGAACAUUUUAUUUAGAUAUUCAGCUUUGUUAAAAUUUCAGGUAAAGAUUCAGGAUUUCCUGAUGGUUUGAGAUCAGUGCAUUUUGCAUUUUGUAGAAUAAUCAAAACAUGCAAUGCUGUCAACAUUGUGUAUUGAUAUAAGUAUUAGUUUUCUUCACCAUAAUCUUCUUUUAACUUGUGUGCAAAUGAAAGAAUUACGGUGUUUUAGGCACCGAGAUUUCUCCGAACCAGCAAAGACGUUAAGGCACCGUGACGUUUAUAUGCUAAGAUGUUUUGGUAAAAGUACCAAGAAGUUUUGGCACUUAUACGUUUAGGCACCAAGAAGUUUUGGCACUAAUAGGUUUAGGCACCAAGACGUUUUGGCACUAAUAGGUUUAGGCACCAAGAAGUUUAGGCACUAAGAUGUUUUGGCACUUAUAUGUUUAGGCACCAACUUAUGCCCUUUUGGUACUCGUUAUUAUGUAUAUUUAAAAAACUUUUUUGCACAUCUGUAUGCUGAUAUGUACUUGUAUAAUCAAAAAUAUUAAACCAUGAAGACCUU